CCCUGGAAGAAGGGGACCCUCCGCUGCUCAAGGAUGUAGAGAGCUGGGGGCCACACACGGACACAGGCAGCGCGUUAGGAGAGGGAGCCCGCGGGAGCCCCCGCCCCCAGCCGGAAUCCCGCCCCCAGCCGCAGUCACCGUCUUCCUCCGUGGUCCCCAGGGCGAGCAGGGACGCGCACAGUGGGCAGUGGCCGAAUCUCUCUCCUGCUGGUUCUGAGUGAGGAACAUGGUAAGGGCACAGAAUGGGACCUGCUGCAGCUGCAAGAAGAGGAUGCGUCAGCGACAUGGACAGGCCUUGGCUCCCUUCGGAGGAUCCUCUUCCUGCCCUGCCCGACAGCCACUGUCCCUUGGCUUGGUCUCUUCUGCAGGCACGGGGUGGCAGGAGACACCCAGGCUGCCCAUGCCUAUGACCCCAAGGAUGCCUGAACCACUGGGACUCACCAGGGCGUGAGGCGGCCCAGGCGCGUCCAUGGGCUCCGGCUGAUGAGAAAUCCAGCCGCGGGGUCAGCCGCAGCCCCGG